CCUACGGGAGGCAGCAGUGAGGAAUAUUGGUCAAUGGGCGCUAGCCUGAACCAGCCAAGUAGCGUGAAGGAUGACUGCCCUAUGGGUUGUAAACUUCUUUUAUAUGGGAAUAAAAUGCAGUAUGUAUACUGCUUUGCAUGUACCUUAUGAAUAAGGAUCGGCUAACUCCGUGCCAGCAGCCGCGGUAAUACGGAGGAUCCGAGCGUUAUCCGGAUUUAUUGGGUGUAAAGGGAGCGUAGGCGGGUUGUUAAGUCAGGUGUGAAAGUUUGCGGCUCAACCGUAAAAUUGCAGUUGAUACUGGCAUUCUUGAGUGAGGGUGAGGUAGGCGGAAUUCGUGGUGUAGCGGUGAAAUGCUUAGAUAUCACGAAGAACCCCGAUUGCGAAGGCAGCUUACUAAACUGUGACUGACAUUGAUGCUCGAAAGUGUGGGUAUCAAACAGGAUUAGAUACCCCAGUAGUC
rnacentral:rRNA from 1 species